ACAGAGGUGGCGAGCGUUGUUCGGAUUUAUUGGGCGUAAAGCGAACGCAGGUGGUUUGGUAAGUCAGGGGUGAAAGACCACAGCUUAACUGUGGCACUGCCUUUGAUACUGCCUUUCUAGAGUGCAUGAGGGGGAAGCGGAAUUCCGAGUGUAGAGGUGAAAUUCGUAGAUAUUCGGAGGAACACCGGUGGCGAAGGCGGCUUCCUGGCAUGUAACUGACACUCAUGUUCGAAAGCGUGGGUAGCAAACAGGAUUAGAUACCCUGGUAGUCCACGCCCUAAACGAUGGGCACUAGGUGUGGGAGGUAUCGACCCCUUCCGUGCCGCAGCUAACGCAUUAAGUGCCCCGCCUGGGGAGUACGGCCGCAAGGUUG
rnacentral:rRNA from 1 species